rnacentral:tRNA from 2 species
GAGCGCGUAGCUCAGAUGGUAGAGCAACUGACUUUUAAUCAGUGGGUCCUGGGUUCGAUCCCCAGCGCGCUCACCA